UCAGCAGCCGCGGUAAUACGGAGGAUCCAAGCGUUGUCCGGAUUUAUUGGGUUUAAAGGGUGCGUAGGCGGAUCUUUAAGUCAGUGGUGAAAGCCUGCAGCUUAACUGUAGAACAGCCAUUGAAACUGAAGAUCUUGAAUAUGGUUAAAGUAGGCGGAAUGUAUCAUGUAGCGGUGAAAUGCUUAGAUAUGAUACAGAACACCGAUAGCGAAGGCAGCUUGCUGAGCCAUUAUUGACGCUGAGGCACGAAAGCGUGGGGAGCGAACAGGAUUAGAUACCCUGGUAGUCCACGCCCUAAACGUUGAUUACUCGUUGUUGGCGAUAUACAGUCAGCGACCAAGCUAAAGCGUUAAGUAAUCCACCUGGGAAGUACGACCGCAAGGUUGAAACUCAAAGGAAUUGACGGGGGCCCGCACA
rnacentral:rRNA from 1 species